UUCAUCCUGAGAGAUGCAGAAAAGGACACAGACAGAAGCAAGUAGCUUAUAUUUUCUGAGAGAUUUCACAACAAAAUAUAAUUAACAAUAAAAAAGCAACUGAAAUGAAACACUGUCAACUGCAAAGAAAAUGAGAGGCAAAAGUUUUGCUCCAUUUCAUCUUGAAGGCCAAGCAGACGCGCGUGCGCACGGACGGCGUAAAAAUGCCCCGCGCGAAUGCGACUUGGCCGAAAAUGUUUUCUGCUCAAACAAUAGUUGGAACAUAAAGUUUAAAGGCAAAAAACAAUAUUUUUGGAGACGGAUACCAGCAACCCUUUCCGUUAAAACAUGCCAGUGGCGUUAAAGGUUGUGGGAAAGCUGGUUAUAACAACACGAAGAUAAAGGAGGAGAAAACCUUUCCAGUUUUGGACUUUCAGCCCUGGUCAACAUCUUCACAGAACCGGAGCUUGCCAGCUAAAGACCCAGAAGGAGAGCUACAAACAGUCAGUGGAGGUGAUGCAGAGAAACAGGGUGAUGAUGAUCCCAGUCAUGAUGAUGAGGAGGGAGAGAAGGAACAGGAGGAGCAGCAGGAGGAGGAUGAGGAGGUCAAUGGAACCAGAAACAACAGUGAAAGGUACAGGAGCAGUUUUCAGUGCUGGGUAGGU